AUUGAACGCUAGCGGGAUGCCUUACACAUGCAAGUCGAACGGAGUGGCGAACGGGUGAGUAAUGUAUCGGAACGUGCCCAGUAGUGGGGGAUAACUACGCGAAAGCGUAGCUAAUACAGCAUACUAUUGGAGCGGCCGAUAGCGGAUUAGCUAGUGGGUGGGGUAACGGCUCACCAAGGCGACGAUCGGUAGCGGGUUUGAGAGGACGACCAGCCACACUGGGACGGAGACACGGCCCAGAAUCCUAAGGGGGGCAUCGGUGGGGAAUUUGGGACAAUGGGGGCAACCCUGGUCCAGCCAUCCCGCGUGUGCGAUGAAGGCCUUCGGGUUUUAAAGGACUUUUAGCAGGAAAGCGGUACCUGCAGAAUAAGCACCGGCUAACUUCGUGCCAGCAGCCGCGGUAAUUC
rnacentral:rRNA from 1 species